rnacentral:sRNA from 1 species
GGGAGAGGAAGACGCGGUAGAAGCGGAGUGAGUGAGGGAAGCGAUGGGCGCGGGAAUGGCCGGCCCACGGGUCGCAGGAGACGGGACGCCAGUCCUUUGGCUCCGUUCCGCUGGCUCCGUCGUCAGUACUGACACCUCGGGCUUGUAGAGCACUUCACGCAGUGCAAAGCGCCCCCCGUCUAUAUCAUAUCGCCUCUCGGUCCUCCUAAAAGUCGUAUGAGAUGGAGCUGGAGGAGGGGAAGGCAGGCAGCGGACUCCGCCAAUAUUAUCUGUCCAAGAUUGAAGAACUCCAGGUGAGGACGGACUCCAGAGGGAGCUAGGAAGGGGGAUGAUGGGGGAUGGAAACGGACUUCCACAAAUCCAUCUAAUUCCUUUGGGAGUGCAGUGGAAGAAGCUGCUGCUUCUCCUUUCUUGUUUGUUUCUUAGCUAGUAGGGUGUAUGUAUCAGAAGUAAGCAAUCUCUUGUUCUCCUCCAGUCCCAUCUCUUUGAGGGUCUUAGUGUUCACAGUUUGUUACACAUCUUCGAGUCAAAUCUUAAUAGUAAAGGUACCUCUAGCCAAAGGUCAACCCUUUUGGAAGAAGCCCGAAUGAAAAGGAUUCUUAUAAAAGGGAAACAUAAGCUCAGGAGUUGAAAUUUAUCACCAAGA